GUUUCAAUGUUUUUCACGGGGGGACAAUGGGAAUUCCCAUGGAUGAAAACAACAGGAUGAGACAACUUUCUUGUGUUUUGUUUGAUGUGAGGGUGGUUGGGCAUCGACAGUCAAUCGCCAAGCGAAUGUUCGGUCUGAUGGAUGAGGUGCUUUGGCAAAACCGCUGCAUGCCUUCUGUGGUCCUGUAACAAGAUAAUACUUAAGUCAGUGCGGCCUAUAGACAGCUAAUGAGGACAAAUAGUUUUGUCAAUAUUUACAUUAGAAGAAAAGUGCAUUACAGUAAUGCGUUGAACUGGAUGUCAAAACCCUCCACCCCCUUGACAGGAAACUGUCUGUUUCAGCGGUUUCAGGUUUCAGGCGCACACUACCCAAUGAACAAUUGCAGAAGAUGUUGUUAAUAUAUGUUAAGCUUGCGUUGCUACAUUUGGCAACCUCAAGUCAAGAAUUUGGGAAUUGCAAAGAAAAUGCUACUUUAAAGUGUGAUGGAAUCAAAGAGGGCUCCUUCAACUCUAUCACAUGGACCAAGAUGCCGUCUUCUCGUAUAAUCAGAAGAAGCCAUGAUAAGAUACAGCACUAUCAGUUCAAUCGUACUGCUGGCUUGACCGAUGAAAACAGCCUUCUUCUCCCUGACCUGACUCCUGAAGACUCAGGAAUCUACGAGUGUCAGAUCGGGGCAAAGGUCGGGGGUCAGAACACCGAGUCCAAGGUGGUCUUGGAGGUUCCAGUUUGUGUGACUGAGCCGCCCACGCCUGAGCCCCCGGAUCUGCCGAUACCACAGACAAUUUGCUGUUUCCUGGUCAUAUGCCUUCUCAAACUUCUUCUGCCCAUCAUUGUGGCCCAAGUAUUCCAUGGCUUGCGGAGAGACGUGAAGAGUGAAAACCCUGUGCCUUUGAGUUAAUUUAAGUUGCAAUAGUUGUAUUCCUCUGUGUACCAUAACAGCUGUAUAUGUGUGCGUCCCACCCUUUUAGGCUAUAUUAUCCAACCUAUGUUUUUUUUAAAGAAUCAUUUUCUGCGCUUGCUAUUGAAUGAUUGAAUCCUCUUUCUGUCAUCCUAAAGAUACCUUGUAAUGAGACAGCCCAUAGUAUGGGCAUAUAACCAAUGGCGGUUCUACAUGGGGGCCUACGGGGGCCUGUGCCCCUGUAGACAUGUCCCUGGCCCCCCCUGUGCCCCCCCCCGUGCUGACCAAAUGCAACAAUUAUGAUUUUACUGAUUUUAUGGAAGUAAUGCGACGCAACGUUCUACACGGAUUAAUCAGAGCGGCGCACCCAAACACCGAGGUGCUGGUCUUCGGUGAAUGAGAUCUCAGCAACUGCACUUGGAGAAAGGAGCCACGAGUUCUCCUUUUGCAAGAGUCGAAGGCAAGCAAAACAAUUUCAUUUCGUAAGUGACUUGUUGUUCUUGCACAUAACAGUGUUACUGUAGUUCCUCACACUUAUAAUGAAAUUAAGUUUGUAAAUGUCUGGUCUCGAAAUAUUUAGAAACUUAAUAAAAUCUAAGCAAACUCAUCGAAGCAGAAGCGAGUCUCCAAAAGUCAGUAUCCUUGCUAGGUCUAGGCCACACAAUGUUGUUAUGUUAACCACGUAUUUUCAUCCGUUUCGGUUGUUACAUUGGGAUAACAAAUAUAUUUGAGUAAAGAGUAGUAGGCUAUCUGCCUGUGUUAAGUAGCUAGGGAUGGUGAUGGAACGAAAUGUAAUGCAUGCCCUACGUUUCUUUUUCUUUUUUUCUUUCUUUUUAUAGCAGCUAUCAUGAAAUGAGUCUCCGUCUCCGUUUCGCGUCGUUGUCCGGUUCGCCCUGCAUGUCUGGGCUUAUUUUCCCGAUAAUGACCGGCGUUCUAUUAUCCCUUACUUGACGUCAAUAUUACUCUGUAUGUGGAAGGAAAAAUAGCUUUAUUUGUAAUUACAAUAAUACGCUGCUGUAUUUUCAGAGACCCCCACAUAUUUGAGUUUGCCGCUUCCAUGGGAGCCAGACCUCUCUCUAUGGGAGCUCAGCUCCCACUGGCCCCCACCUAACUCGAACCCUGGUUAUGCAACGAAAUGUAAUGCACGUUUUUUUUUUUUUUCUUUCUUUUUCUAGCAGCUAUCAUGAAAUGAGGAAAACAGUAAAACAGGCAAUCUUUUUAAAAGGGAAGAACACCGUUUCUCCACACUGAAACUUUUACAAUAAAUAGGAAAGGGCCAAUUGUUUUGCACUUCGUUGUACCCUGGAUUAUUUAUUCUCAUUGACACACUAUUUACCGUCUUAUUUUUUAAUUUUUUAUGGCCCUACCUCUCUUUAACGCUUGUAUAAAACAAAUCUUUACAUGAUUUUGAUGAUUUAGGGCAUAAUCAAUUUAAGAUAGAUUGACAGAAAAAUACAGACUUGUGAAGUAAUAAACUCUUGUACAAAU